AGAGUUUGAUCCUGGCUCAGGAUGAACGCUAGCGACAGGCUUAACACAUGCAAGUCGAGGGGCAGCAGGGGCGUAGCAAUACGCCUGCUGGCGACCGGCGCACGGGUGAGUAACACGUAUGAAACCUGCCCGUAGCAGGGGGAUAAGCGGAAGAAAUUCCGUCUAAUACCGCGUAAUAACCGUUUGGGGCAUCCCUUAAGGUUUAAAGGAGCGAUCCGGCUACGGAUGGUCAUGCGUCGCAUUAGCUAGUCGGCGGGGUAACGGCCCACCGAGGCGACGAUGCGUAGGGGUUCUGAGAGGAAGGUCCCCCACACUGGUACUGAGACACGGACCAGACUCCUACGGGAGGCAGCAGUGAGGAAUAUUGGUCAAUGGCCGAGAGGCUGAACCAGCCAAGUCGCGUGAGGGAUGACGGCCCUACGGGUUGUAAACCUCUUUUGCCGGGGAGCAAAGAGCGGGACGCGUCCCGCCUCGAGAGUACCCGGAGAAAAAGCAUCGGCUAACUCCGUGCCAGCAGCCGCGGUAAUACGGAGGAUGCGAGCGUUAUCCGGAUUUAUUGGGUUUAAAGGGUGCGCAGGCGGAAGCGCAAGUCAGCGGUAAAAUUGAGAGGCUCAACCUCUUCCCGCCGUUGAAACUGCGUUUCUUGAGUGGGCGAGAAGUACGCGGAAUGCGUGGUGUAGCGGUGAAAUGCAUAGAUAUCACGCAGAACUCCGAUUGCGAAGGCAGCGUACCGGCGCCCAACUGACGCUCAUGCACGAAAGCGUGGGUAUCGAACAGGAUUAGAUACCCUGGUAGUCCACGCAGUAAACGAUGAAUACUCGCUGUCCGGGGAGAUUGGUCUCUGGGCGGCCAAGCGAAAGCGUUAAGUAUUCCACCUGGGGAGUACGCCGGCAACGGUGAAACUCAAAGGAAUUGACGGGGGCCCGCACAAGCGGAGGAACAUGUGGUUUAAUUCGAUGAUACGCGAGGAACCUUACCCGGGCUCAAACGACGGAUGAAUACUUUUGAAAGGAGGUAGUCCUUCGGGACAUCCGUCGAGGUGCUGCAUGGUUGUCGUCAGCUCGUGCCGUGAGGUGUCGGCUUAAGUGCCAUAACGAGCGCAACCCCCAUCGCCAGUUGCCAACAGGUAAAGCUGGGAACUCUGGCGAGACUGCCGGCGCAAGCUGUGAGGAAGGCGGGGAUGACGUCAAAUCAGCACGGCCCUUACGUCCGGGGCGACACACGUGUUACAAUGGCGGAAACAGAGGGAGGCGAAGCGGCGACGCGGAGCGAACCCCAAAAACACCGCCCCAGUUCGGAUUGUAGUCUGCAACCCGACUACAUGAAGCCGGAAUCGCUAGUAAUCGCGGAUCAGAAUGCCGCGGUGAA
rnacentral:rRNA from 1 species